UCCUACUUUUACUCUUAUAUAUAACCUGCUGCACUUAUGUCCUUGUUGUUAUUUGGAUGAUACCUGACUGACAAAAACAAUGUGGAACUACAAAACCUAUUCCACAAUUCACACUAGUGUUUAGGAUGAUUUCAACCUUUGGGGAUAAAUAGAGGGAGGGAGGAUUUUUCGGUGUCGCCUGAGGGAUUGAGAAAGAAUGAAGGUUGGAUUAUGGAGAAUUGUUGCAGGUUGUUGAAGAGAAAUUAGGGUUUUGAAAUGGGAUUGAUUUGGGGAAGAAGAGGGUUUUGUUAUGAUAUAUAAUUUUUUUUCUUUUAUAUGUAUUUUUUAAGAAUAGGGUGAAAAGACAAUUUUACCCUCAUAUGCAUUGCACAAGACCAGAUUUGACAGAAAAAUCUAACUAGGUUAGGGCUAAAGGACAAAACGUGUAUGAUUUGAAAACAUAAAGUACAAAACUCGUCAAUUUUAAACAUAAAGGACAGCGCCUGCAAAUAGGUAUAAAGAUAAAGGACAAUCCUUGCAAUUCACUCUUAAUUAUAAUACGUCCCGCUCGCGCUAUGUGGAUAUAAUGUAUAUAUGUGUGAGUCAUUGGGGGGAAAAAGUGAAAGCUGAAGACGGUUAAUUAUACAUCAUGUGGUGGCGUUGAUAGCUGAAAUACAAAAGGAUACAUACACUAAUCGGUCUUUGUCUCGAUUGUUGAGUGUUAUGUGCCUUAUGUCCAAGACUUGAUGCAAAACUACUAUCGUGCCCGAGGUCUCACUGGAAGCAGCAUCUCUAUCCCUACGGGAUAGAGGUAAGGCUGUCUACAUCUUACCCUUCUCAGACCCUCUACCUUUGCUUUACUAUUGGUGGGAUUUACUGAGUAUGAUGAUAUUGAUAUUAAUUAAUUACUAGUCAUUUACCCGCACGAUGCGGCGGGAGUGACGAUUUACAAUAGGAUACUCGUUUACCGUUAAUUUAUCAGUCGUCUCGUGAUAUAUUGUAUAGUACUUAAGUUAGUUUUCUUAUUCGUGAUAUGUUGGCAUUAGUUUUUCGUUUUGGCGUGAUCUAUCUACAAGAAGAAUACAAAACAAGGAAGUAG
rnacentral:lncRNA from 1 species